rnacentral:misc_RNA from 1 species
GGCGGACGCUGAUUGUGGUCGGCAUUCUGGCUUAUGUGGAAAUUAUUCCAUUUUUGCCUAACUUCUUACCGUGCAUUACAUGAAACCCAAAUAUGUGGCACGAAGCGCGGAAACAGGAGCGAAAGCUCCGUGGCAUGAUGGUCGACUACAAGAAACGGGCCGAAAGGAGGAGGGAAUAUUAUGAGAAAAUCAAACUAGACCCUACCCAGUUUAUUCGCCUUCAUGGACGGCCAUGUAAAAUAAACCUGGAUCCUGCUGUAGCAAUGGCUGCUGAGGGACCUGGAACAAUGAUGCCGUGGCAGGGAGAUGCUCAUAAUCUGAUUGAUAGAUUUGAUGUUAGAGCACAUUUGGAUUAUAUUCCUGAAUAUAAUCAUUCACCGUUCCAAGACCUUGAUGCAGAAGAAAGAAAAUGCAACUAUGAACGUUAUAGAACACUAGUGCAAAGUGACUGGGCUGGAAUUACUGAAGAACAGUUUCUCUAUCAGAUUUACCUGGAUGAACUAUUUGGUGCCGAGAAGAAAAAGAAUGAUGACAAAGAAAGGUUGUCUAAGGAGAGGGUAUCCAUAGGUUAUGUCUAUGAUGAUAGUACUACUGCUAAUGCUGGAGGAGGAGAAGGCAAUGGUGGCGAUGAAGGAGGUGAUGAAGAGGAAGAUGACGAGGAUGAUGAUAGUGAUAUAGAUAUAGAUAUUGAUAUUGACAUUGAUGCCUUGAAUGAUGAGCAGACUGAAGAAUUAAACAUAACAGGUGUUAGUUAUGGGAUGAAUGCUUCAGAAUAUAUCAGGCAACUGAGGAAAGACAAGGAGGAGUUAGAAGCUUUGAAAAGAGCAAGAGAAGAGGAGGAAGAGCGAGCAAUGUAUUCUGGUAGAAAAUCUAGACGUGAAAGAAGAGCUCUGAUUGAGAAGAGAUUGAAAGGUAGAAAGAUCAGCCCUCCAAGCUAUGCCAGAAGAGAUAGUCCUACAUAUCAGCCAUACCAUCGCUCGACAUCAAGGUCAUCAUCACGUAGCCGCUCACGAACACCUGAGAAUGCAGGUGAAGUGAAAUUCAUUACUAGCUUUGGUGGUGAUGAGGACGAGCCAAAGACAACUCAGUCUAUCAUUGGACCCAUGAAUCGACCAGAAACCAAAGAGAAGCAAGAAAAAGUUACUGAAUCUCGUUACAAAUCCCGAAAAAGAACUAAGUCGAAUGGUAGCAGUAGUUCCUCUGGCUCAUCUUAUAGUUCAAGAUCAAGAUCACGAUCUAGAGAAAGAGAUCGAUAUAGAUAUCGAAAUCGACGAUAUUCCAGAUCACGGUCACGCGAGAGACGCGACAGUUACCGGCGUCAUCCAAAUGAUAGAUACAGCUAUCAUAGAAGAAAUUCUUAUCGUUCACAUAGUAGGUCACGCUCGCGGGAUAGACAUCGGCGCACUAGGUCGCGCUCGCCGAUACGUUCUGUAAAAAGAUAUUCACGAUCUAGUUCCCACUCUAGUCGUUCACGAUCCCGUUCUAAAGAUAGACAUGAUUAUUCCCAUGCAUAUGACCGAUACCGUAAGUCUUCAUAUUCAGAAACCAAGGCUAGGAUUGAUCGCAAAAUUGACAUAGAACCUCGGAGUAAGAUAAAAAGUGCAGAAAAGGAAUCAGUCUUUAAAAAAAGAGAAGAGCUCACUGCCAGAUUAAAAGUAUCCGAGGCAAGCAUUGGUAAAGCCCCUAGUGUUAGUGCUAGUUCUAGUGCUAGUGCUGCAUCCAAAGUCACCCAAACUUACCCCACAAGAAAAACUGAAAAAAAGAAUGCAGCUGGCGCUUAACAAACAAUAUAAAGCUGACAAGAAGAAAGAACGAAUUAAAAUAGAUGAGAAGGUACAAGAAAGAAUGGACAGGGAUGAAGAGUUGAGAGAGAUUUCCAGGAAGAUCAGAAGAAGAGAACGAGAAAAGCGGGAUAGAGAUAUGGACUAUGGUGGUAGAAGAAGCAAAUCAAGAUCACUUUCGCCAAAGAGAGAUUUGUGUUCCAGUCGAGAUGCUUCGUCUCGUAAGCGCCAUCGUUCGCGGUCACGGUCACAGUCGAGCUCCAGCACCAGCUCUCGCUCUAGCUCAAGUUCAAGCUCAAGUUCAAGAUCUCGGUCACAUUCACGAUCACCAGUGAGAUACAGAUACUAGAUGAUAAUCCAAUAAGCAAUACAG